rnacentral:rRNA from 1 species
GAUGAACGCUGGCGGCGUGCCUAAUACAUGCAAGUCGAGCGAACUGACGAGAAGCUUGCUUCUCUUAUGUUAGCGGCGGACGGGUGAGUAACACGUGGAUAACCUACCUAUAAGACUGGGAUAACUUCUGGAAACCGUAGCUAAUACCGGAUAAUAUUUUGAACCUCCUUGUUCAUAAGUGAAAGACGUUCUUUCUGUCACUUAUAGAUUGAUCCGCGCUUCAUUAGCUAGUUGGUAAGGUAACGGCUUACCAAGGCAACGAUGGAUAGCCGACCUGAGAGGGUGAACGGCUACACGGGAACAGAGACACGGUCGAGACUCCGACGGGAGGAAACAGUAGGGAAUCUUACGCGAGGGGGGAAAGGGUGAUGGAGCAAAGCCGCGUGAGUGAUGAAGGUCUGAGGAUCGGAAGACGAAGAUAGUAGGGAAAAACAUAUGUGUAAGUAACAGGGAAGAUAUUGACGGUACCUAACAAGAAAGCAACAGCUAACUACGUG